rnacentral:rRNA from 1 species
GUAGGGAAUAUUGGGCAAUGGAUGCAAGUCUGACCCAGCCAUCCCGCGUGCCGGAAGAAGGCCCUCAGGGUUGUAAACGGCUUUUGACGGUGAAGAAUCGACAGGAUGCGUCCUGUUUUGACGGUAGCCGUUGAAUAAGCACCGGCUAACUCCGUGCCAGCAGCCGCGGUAAUACGGAGGGUGCGAGCGUUGUCCGGAUUUAUUGGGUUUAAAGGGUGCGUAGGCUGGAAGGUCAGUCAGCGGUGAAAAGCUGUCGCUUAACGAUAGUCGUGCCGCAGAUACUGCAUUUCUUGGAUGAGGAGGAGGCCACUGGAACGGAUGGUGUAGCGGUGAAAUGCAUAGAUAUCAUCCAGAACACAGAUUACGAAGGCAGGUGGCUGUACCUUAAUCGACGCUGAUGCACGAAAGCAUGGGGAGCAAACAGGAUUAGAAACCCCGGUAGUCC